rnacentral:sRNA from 1 species
UAUCCAAAUCCCCACAAAUACUCGCUUCUGAUCUGAGAAUCUACUACUUUCUAGC